GACGAACGCUGGCGGCGUGCUUAACACAUGCAAGUCGAACGGAAAGGCCCUGCUUUUGUGGGGUGCUCGAGUGGCGAACGGGUGAGUAACACGUGAGUAACCUGCCCUUGACUUUGGGAUAACUUCAGGAAACUGGGGCUAAUACCGGAUAGGAGCUCCUGCUGCAUGGUGGGGGUUGGAAAGUUUCGGCGGUUGGGGAUGGACUCGCGGCUUAUCAGCUUGUUGGUGGGGUAGUGGCUUACCAAGGCUUUGACGGGUAGCCGGCCUGAGAGGGUGACCGGCGCCUGUGAUAGGGUGACACGGCGCACAGUGGCAGGAGCGGCGGCGGUGGGGAACAUGGGACAGCGGGCGGAGGCCUGCUGCAGCGGCGCCGGGGCGAGGCCUACGGCCUUCGGGCGUCAAGCCGCUCCACCUGGGGCCGAGGGGUGAGUGACGGUGAGACGUCAAGAACCACCGGAUAACUCCGUGCCAUCGGCCGCCGUAAUCCCCGGACCCCCACACGCUUGAUC
rnacentral:rRNA from 1 species